rnacentral:rRNA from 1 species
UGGGGAAUAUUGGGCAAUGGGCGAAAGCCUGACCCAGCGACGCCGUGUGGGCGAUGAAGGCCUUCGGGUUGUAAAGCCCUGUGAGGUGGAAAGAAGGGCCCAGAGGUUAAUACCCUUUGGGCUUUGACGGUACCACCAGAGGAAGCACCGGCUAACUCCGUGCCAGCAGCCGCGGUAAUACGGAGGGUGCAAGCGUUGUUCGGAAUUACUGGGCGUAAAGGGCGCGUAGGUGGUUGUGUAAGUCAGAUGUGAAAUCCCGAGGCUCAACUUCGGAACUGCAUCUGAAACUGCAUGACUAGAGUACAGCAGAGGGAAACGGAAUUCCUGGUGUAGAGGUGAAAUUCGUAGAUAUCAGGAGGAACACCGGUGGCGAAGGCGGUUUCCUGGGCUGAUACUGACACUGAGGCGCGAAAGCGUGGGGAGCAAACA